AGAGUUUGAUCCUGGCUCAGGAUGAACGCUGGCGGCGUGCCUAAUACAUGCAAGUCGAGCGAACGGACGAGAAGCUUGCUUCUCUGAUGUUAGCGGCGGACGGGUGAGUAACACGUGGAUAACCUACCUAUAAGACUGGGAUAACUUCGGGAAACCGGAGCUAAUACCGGAUAAUAUUUUGAACCGCAUGGUUCAAAAGUGAAAGACGGUCUUGCUGUCACUUAUAGAUGGAUCCGCGCUGCAUUAGCUAGUUGGUAAGGUAACGGCUUACCAAGGCAACGAUGCAUAGCCGACCUGAGAGGGUGAUCGGCCACACUGGAACUGAGACACGGUCCAGACUCCUACGGGAGGCAGCAGUAGGGAAUCUUCCGCAAUGGGCGAAAGCCUGACGGAGCAACGCCGCGUGAGUGAUGAAGGUCUUCGGAUCGUAAAACUCUGUUAUUAGGGAAGAACAUAUGUGUAAGUAACUGUGCACAUCUUGACGGUACCUAAUCAGAAAGCCACGGCUAACUACGUGCCAGCAGCCGCGGUAAUACGUAGGUGGCAAGCGUUAUCCGGAAUUAUUGGGCGUAAAGCGCGCGUAGGCGGUUUUUUAAGUCUGAUGUGAAAGCCCACGGCUCAACCGUGGAGGGUCAUUGGAAACUGGAAAACUUGAGUGCAGAAGAGGAAAGUGGAAUUCCAUGUGUAGCGGUGAAAUGCGCAGAGAUAUGGAGGAACACCAGUGGCGAAGGCGACUUUCUGGUCUGUAACUGACGCUGAUGUGCGAAAGCGUGGGGAUCAAACAGGAUUAGAUACCCUGGUAGUCCACGCCGUAAACGAUGAGUGCUAAGUGUUAGGGGGUUUCCGCCCCUUAGUGCUGCAGCUAACGCAUUAAGCACUCCGCCUGGGGAGUACGACCGCAAGGUUGAAACUCAAAGGAAUUGACGGGGACCCGCACAAGCGGUGGAGCAUGUGGUUUAAUUCGAAGCAACGCGAAGAACCUUACCAAAUCUUGACAUCCUUUGACAACUCUAGAGAUAGAGCUUUCCCCUUCGGGGGACAAAGUGACAGGUGGUGCAUGGUUGUCGUCAGCUCGUGUCGUGAGAUGUUGGGUUAAGUCCCGCAACGAGCGCAACCCUUAAGCUUAGUUGCCAUCAUUAAGUUGGGCACUCUAAGUUGACUGCCGGUGACAAACCGGAGGAAGGUGGGGAUGACGUCAAAUCAUCAUGCCCCUUAUGAUUUGGGCUACACACGUGCUACAAUGGACAAUACAAAGGGCAGCGAAACCGUGAGGUCAAGCAAAUCCCAUAAAGUUGUUCUCAGUUCGGAUUGUAAUCUGCAACUCGACUACAUGAAGCUGGAAUCGCUAGUAAUCGUAGAUCAGCAUGCUACGGUGAAUACGUUCCCGGGUCUUGUACACACCGCCCGUC
rnacentral:rRNA from 1 species